rnacentral:rRNA from 1 species
UAACAUGAGAGUUUGAUCCUGGCUCAGGAUGAACGCUGGCGGCGUGCCUAACACAUGCAAGUCGAACGAGGUAUUUUGAUUGAAGUUUUCGGAUGGAUUUCAAGAUACCGAGUGGCGGACGGGUGAGUAACGCGUGGGUAACCUGCCUCAUACAGGGGGAUAACGGUUAGAAAUGACUGCUAAUACCGCAUAAGCGCACAGUACCGCAUGGUACGGUGUGAAAAACUCCGGUGGUAUGAGAUGGACCCGCGUCUGAUUAGCUAGUUGGUGAGGUAACGGCCCACCAAGGCGACGAUCAGUAGCCGACCUGAGAGGGUGACCGGCCACAUUGGGACUGAGACACGGCCCAGACUCCUACGGGAGGCAGCAGUGGGGGAUAUUGCACAAUGGAGGAAACUCUGAUGCAGCGAC